rnacentral:rRNA from 1 species
CCCUUAGAUGUCCUGGGCCGCACGCGUGCUACACUGAUGCAUACAGCGAGUACUUUCCAGCUCCGCGAGGCAGCUGGUAAUCAGCAAUAUGCAUCGUGCUGGGGAUAGAUCUUUGGAAUUAUAGAUCUUGAACGAGGAAUUCCUAGUAAGCGCAAGUCAUUAGCUUGCGCUGAUUAAGUCCCUGCCCUUUGUACACACCGCCCGUCGCUCCUACCGAUUUCGAGUGAUUCGGUGAACCUUUUGGACAGCGUCUGUCCUCGUGUCAGAUACUGAAAGUCAAGUAAACCAUAUCACUUAGAGGAAGGAGAAGUCGUAACA